GAAACGCGAUAGGUAAUGUGAAUUGCAGAAUUCCGUGAAUCAUCGAAUCUUUGAACGCACAUUGCGCCUGCUGGUAUUCCGGUAGGCAUGCCUGUUUGAGCGUCAGCAAAACCUCUCAGCUAAUACAUUUUUUUGUAAAGCUGGUUAUGGGUGUUUGGAGGAAAUUGACUGUCAUGGUCAGCUCCCGCCUUAAACUUGCUGCACGACCGCAAGCUAAUGCUAGGUUAAUGGAGUGGUAUUUUCUUAUAAUUCCAGCAACACUACAUGGCUUUUGCGGCGUUAAAUCUAAUGUCGUCCUAAACGCGACUGAAGUUUGACCUCAAAUCAGACAAGGAUACCCGCUGAACUUAA
rnacentral:misc_RNA from 1 species